rnacentral:rRNA from 1 species
AGGGAAUCUUCCGCAAUGGACGAAAGUCUGACGGAGCAACGCCGCGUGAGUGAUGAAGGUCUUCGGAUUGUAAAGCUCUGUCUUCUGGGACGAUAAUGACGGUACCAGAGGAGGAAGCCACGGCUAACUACGUGCCAGCAGCCGCGGUAAUACGUAGGUGGCGAGCGUUGUCCGGAUUUACUGGGCGUAAAGGAUGUGUAGGCGGAUAUUUAAGUGAGAUGUGAAAGACCCGGGCUUAACUUGGGCAGUGCAUUUCAAACUGGAUGUCUGGAGUGCAGGAGAGGAGAACGGAAUUCCUAGUGUAGCGGUGAAAUGCGUAGAGAUUAGGAAGAACACCAGUGGCGAAGGCGGUUCUCUGGACUGUAACUGACGCUGAGGCACGAAAGCGUGGGUAGCAAAC